ensembl:snoRNA U3 Small nucleolar RNA U3
GAGACUAUACUUUCAGGGAUCAUUUCUAUAGUGGUCAACUAGAGAAGUUUCUCUUCAACGACCUCAUCGUGCUUGGAGUGGCGAGAUUG